rnacentral:rRNA from 1 species
UGGGGAAUAUUGCACAAUGGGGGAAACCCUGAUGCAGCAACGCCGCGUGAGUGAUGAAGGUUUUCGGAUCGUAAAGCUCUGUCUUUGGGGAAGAUAAUGACGGUACCCAAGGAGGAAGCCACGGCUAACUACGUGCCAGCAGCCGCGGUAAUACGUAGGUGGCGAGCGUUAUCCGGAUUUACUGGGCGUAAAGGGAGCGUAGGCGGACUUUUAAGUGAGAUGUGAAAUACCCGGGCUCAACUUGGGUGCUGCAUUUCAAACUGGAAGUCUAGAGUGCAGGAGAGGAGAAUUGAAUUCCUAGUGUAGCGGUGAAAUGCGUAGAGAUUAGGAAGAACACCAGUGGCGAAGGCGAUUCUCUGGACUGUAACUGACGCUGAGGCUCGAGAGCGUGGAGAGCAAACA